rnacentral:rRNA from 1 species
CCUACGGGUGGCAGCAGUGAGGAAUAUUGGUCAAUGGGCUAAAGCCUGAACCAGCCAAGUCGCGUGAGGGAUGACGGCCCUAUGGGUUGUAAACCUCUUUUGUCGGGGAGCAACGAGCCCGCCUCGUGCGGUAGUGAGUGUACCCGAUGAAAAAGCAUCGGCUAACUCCGUGCCAGCAGCCGCGGUAAUACGGAGGAUGCGAGCGUUAUCCGGAUUUAUUGGGUUUAAAGGGUGCGUAGGCGGAACAUUAAGUCAGCGGUAAAAUCGAGGGGCUCAACCCCGUCAAGCCGUUGAAACUGGUGAUCUUGAGUGGGCGAGAGGUAUGCGGAAUGCGUGGUGUAGCGGUGAAAUGCAUAGAUAUCACGCAGAACUCCGAUUGCGAAGGCAGCGUACCGGGGCCCGACUGACGCUGAGGCACGAAAGCGCGGGGAUCGAACAGGAUUAGAUACCCUUGUAGUC